rnacentral:snoRNA from 1 species
UGCCAUGAUGGUGUAAUUUGCGUCUGAAUCUGUGAACAAUGACAGUUGCCUGCUGUCUUAAGUUGUCUCAGAUUAUUGAUGUCUGAUAAAUUCUGAGCA